rnacentral:tRNA from 1 species
GGGGUUGUGGCUCAGUGGUAGAGUGCUCACUUAGCAUAUGUGAGGCCCUGGGUUCGAUCCUCAGCACCA